AAUACAUGCAAGUCGAACGCUUUGUGGUUCAACUGAUUGAAGAGCUUGCUCAGAUAUGACGAUGGACAUUGCAAAGAGUGGCGAACGGGUGAGUAACACGUGGGAAACCUACCUCUUAGCAGGGGAUAACAUUUGGAAACAGAUGCUAAUACCGUAUAACAAUAGCAACCGCAUGGUUGCUACUUAAAAGAUGGUUCUGCUAUCACUAAGAGAUGGUCCCGCGGUGCAUUAGUUAGUUGGUGAGGUAAUGGCUCACCAAGACGAUGAUGCAUAGCCGAGUUGAGAGACUGAUCGGCCACAAUGGGACUGAGACACGGCCCAUACUCCUACGGGAGGCAGCAGUAGGGAAUCUUCCACAAUGGGCGAAAGCCUGAUGGAGCAACGCCGCGUGUGUGAUGAAGGGUUUCGGCUCGUAAAACACUGUUGUAAGAGAAGAAUGACAUUGAGAGUAACUGUUCAAUGUGUGACGGUAUCUUUAC
rnacentral:rRNA from 2 species